rnacentral:rRNA from 1 species
AAUCUCUGGUUCGAUACCUCUUGCCGGCCACGGUUUCGUGUGUCAGUGCAGGAUGUUUGAGCCAUCCUUCCAAGCGCUGCUUCUUACUCUUCACUGAGUGGGAAGUGGUCUUGGAUCUUUUACUUUGAAAAAAUUAGAGUGUUUCAAGCAGGCUUUAUGCUAUGAAUACAUUAGCAUGGAAUAAUAAUUUAGGACUUCGGUUCUAUUUUGUUGGUUUCUAGGACUGAAGUAAUGAUUGAUAGGGACAGUUGGGGGUGCUAGUAUUCAGCGGCCAGAGGUGAAAUUCUCGGAUUCGCUGAAGACUAACUAAUGCGAAAGCAUU